AAACUUCGCAAAAACUCUUAUAGAAAAAAAAAAAAAAAAAAAUCUGUUCAACCUUCGGGAAGCGAUGAUGAAUUUGUGAAUAAAUUAGGUUCGAGGGCGUUUGGUGUAACCGGAUAUUUCUGAGUGCAAUUCAUGCGCGCGGUGAAAGCCGUGUACGCUACGACGAUGUCCUGCUGUUUUCAAGGCCGAGUCGCGCCCGGCAUAAACAUGUUUCACAAAGCUCAUUACUGAAUGGUGUGCUUAAUUUGGAUAUUUUCUUAAGGCUACUGAGCUGUAAUCGUUGCGGCUUUAUUAUUAGUUCAAUAUGGUUAUCUGUACGCGGGAUUCUUAACGAGAACGCGUCUCCGAAUAAUAGUUCUCAAGUAAAAUUUACCGGUGGCAUCGCGACACGCCAUCGUUGGCAAACACGAUGCUAUUACCUCGUUGCGUCGCACCGCACUCUACGUCGAGGCUAAAGACCCCGACACACCUGUACGCGAGAGAGCUUAGACGACAAAUGCGAAUGCCAGACACGAGGACACAGAUAGCCGGGGCGAACGUAUCGAAAGUUCAAGGCAGCGUGAGCG